rnacentral:lncRNA from 1 species
AAUUUUGUGUGUGUGUGAUGGAGUCAGGGUUUUGGAACUGUGACCUCUCUUUUUGUGUUUCAGAACUGGUCUCUCCUACUGUGGGUUUUUUUUAAAGAUUGGCACCUGAGCUAACAUCUGUUGCCAAUCUUUUUUUUUUUCCUUCUUCUUCUUCUCCCCAAAGCUCCCCCAGCACAUGGUUGUGUAUUCUAGUUGUGAGUGCCUAUGGUUGUGCUGUGUGGGACGUGCCUCAGCAUGGCUUGAUGAGGGUGCCAUGUCCGCGCACAGGAUCCGAACCAGCGAAACCCUGGGCUGCUGAAGUGGAGCGCGCGAACUUAACUGCUCGGCCACGGGGCUGGCCCCUGUGGCUUUUUCUUUUUACAAAGGUAUUCUUUUACAUUCAGACGUGGAGCACGAACUCUACCAGAUGGGAUCCCACCGGCCCCAAGGCUUUGUUGAAUGGAACCGUGAGUGAGAAUGUAAACUCUCGAGCCCAAGGCUUUCCACGGAAUUCCCUUUGGACUGGUUCAUUCUUUUUGCUCAACAUGAGAAAACAGCAGGAGUUAUUGGUUGGACUGCGUGAUGAGCCAGAUUGUCUGGGGGCAAGGCAGGCUGGGUAGGGGAGAGGAAACAACCCUAUGGACUGUGAUAAAGGAAUGUAUGAAGUUUUAUAAAAACAUAGAUAAAUAAU